UCGCGGCUUUUUAGAGCAUACGGUUUUUCUCCGAGUUGUAUUGCUUUUCUGGAAUGGGUCGAAUAGCUGCCCUGGUUAGUGGCGAGGUUUGGCGCAGUCGCUGGCUGUGCAUGCUGACGGCGUUUCGGUCUUGUUUAGCUCUCGCUCGAGUCUGGAGCAUGUGGCAGCCCUCGGUCAUUCGCACAAAUGCAUGCAAUUCAUGUCCAGGGAGAGGUCUCUGAGUUAGCUGUCUCUCCCUGGAGACUUAACCUGUGUCAGGGAGCCUGGGCUCGUGUAUCGCUACGUGUGUCAACACAGGUGCUGUUUGGGUACAUAUGAUCUCCUUGAGCCUUUGGGCGGAGUCGUGAGUGAUGGGAUAUUUGAUCUGAGUGGAUUUUGUGAGCCCUAGUACAAAGUCCCUAGGAUGUGUGUGCCUGUAUUCCGGGGUGUGCAUUUUUGGAGCUUUCUGGCCUUUCAGUCCCUGGGUGUGAGAUCACUUUGUAAGCGUGUGCACCCGAGAUUGUGAGACCUCUGAGUUUUUGAUUCUGGUCCCAAGUUGCGAUAUCUCUGGCCUGCUUUAAGGAUGGGUUUGUCUAAAGGUGUGAAGUCUCAGCUGCUUGGGGAUCUGUGCACAGGGUGCAGGUUUUUUCAUUUGUCUGCGGACUUUAUUUGAAGGUUACAUGAUGUUCUUGAGUUAUUAAAGGUUCUCUUUCCGUUUAGGGUUUUUGUAUUAGGUUGGUAAGUGUCCGAGUGGUUUGGAAGUCAGUCUCCAUGGUGUGAAGUAUCUGUGCAGUUCUCAUUUGUUUCUGUCUUGAAGACUUUGGCCUGUUUGGAGGGUCUUUGUCACAGCGUGUGUGGUUAUGGUCUCAGUUGUGUUUGAGGGUCUGAGACGUGUUGUGUGCUCUCUGUGCAGAGAUUCAGUGAGCUCUUUUUGGUGUCUCUGGGUAUCUAUCUGGGCUGUCUGGAGUCUCUGUGUCAGAAAUAAAACCUCUUAUGUUCUUGGCUGUGAGGUCUCUGUCCGGGAACUGAGGGUUUGGAAGCUGGCAGAUAUGAUUCUGAGGCCUGGAACCUGACAUGCUGACUGUGUGUUGCUGAGUGUAUCAGUUGUCUCCUGGAAUCUCAAUUUAUUCAUAAUUAUUACAAUGGGGCCAGUGCGCGUCUUGGAGGGUACCUGUGCAUGUUAGCAAUGUGUGUUGCCUGGCUCCAGACUAUCCUUCAGCAAAUGUUUUCUGAGCACCUGCCAUAUACCUGAGCACUGUUGGAGGAGUUUGUGACAGGACAGAACUGACCAAGUCUCUCCUCUGAUAGACUUGCUGGUCAGUAAAUUAAUCAAGAGUGGCAGGCACUAUGAAGAAAGAUAAUGCUAGAUCAGGGGAAAGGGUAUAUGUAGGUAUGAUGUUAUUAUUUUAUGCAAGGUAAGGAGGGAAAGUCUCCCUGAAAGAUGGCAAGUAAGCAGAAAUCUGGAGGAAGUGAGGGAGCAGGCCAUGGGGUUAUCUAAGGGAAGAGCAUUCCAGGCAGAAGGAACAACAAAUGCAACUGUCCUGGCAUGGAAAUCUACUUGGCGUGCUCCUGAAUGUCAAGGAGUCCUGCGAUGCACUGGGUUUGGCAUGUAGCACUCAUUGAAAGGGGUCUGGUUGCUGCUGUCUCUGUUUCUCCCACAAUUUGUGAUCAUCCGCAUUUCACAGAUGAAGGCCUGAGGGCUCCAACGUGUGCCCUGCACCUUCUCUCCUACCUAUCCCUGAAAUUAGGAGUGAGACCUUCUGGUCCAUCAUGAGAGAGAGAGAGAGUUUGAGUGUCCCAGCUGCAGGGAUGUCACACUGAAUGUCAGCCAAGCAGCAGAGAUCAGUUAUAAGGUGGGAAUCAUGCCUCGUAACAUUGGUACUCUUGAUGGAGGGCAGGACUUAAGAAGGAAACAGGAACUGGGGCAAAGGACAGAGGCAGGAAGGGAAGUUGGAGGACAAUGAGGAGAAAAAAAACAAAAAACAAAAAACGACUGGCUUCAUCACAUUGCUUGGGUUUGGCCCAGUUCACGUUGGUUGGCUGACUGUAUUAUGACAUAGUCACCUCUUCCUGUCCCUACCCUUUCUUUCCCUUCCCUUUUUUGUGCCUGAGCAAGUCAGUCCUAAAGCCGUUAGGUGUCGCCAGGCAAGGCAUGUGUAUGUGUAGAGGGGCAUCCCUGCCUGGAGAGUCAGAGCCCAAGGUGGAAAGAAUAUCCCUGGGGAUUGAGUGUGAAGGAGGUAACUGCUUCAUGGAUUCAAUGUUGAGUGAGGUGUGGAAGUCAAGGACAAGGGAUGGUUCCGCAUAGAUUGUGAGGAGGACCCUUUCGUGGAGGACGGAUCACUUAUAUGCAUUGGGAUUCAUCAACUCAGCAAAUACAUAAGAAUGCUGAGAGCCACGUCUGUCAUUUUUGGAAAAGGGAAUUUCCAGUAUGGAAAGGAAGUAAACUAGAACAAAUCUGAGGAAUUCUACUGGGAUUAAAGGUCUCCAUGCAAACUUCUUGUAUUCGAUAGGUGUGCAUAUGUGGCUAGACUGAUAUGUAACUAUAGAUGUGUGUGUAUGUGUUUGUGUGUGUGAUUCUGUACACACAUAUAUUCCCAAGUUACUGGAAACAGCAACAUUCCAACGGCAAUAAUUACACCAGUCCCCAGAUCCUAGCUUCUGAACACCUUUCUCCACUAAAUGAUGGGUUCCCAGGCUGAGGAAGGAAAGGAUAAAUGAGCCUGGGUCACCUUGUCAUGUCAGUAACAAGGGAAAGUUCAAGAAUGAUGUGGAGAUGUCAGAGGGACACAGAAUAUAGCUUGAGGGCUCUCCCACUGGACACACUCAGGACUCUUAUUUUUUCCACCUUUCUUGAGGUAUUAUUGACAUAUAACCUGUAAGUUUAAGAUGCCAAUGUGAUGAGUUGAUACACACAUAUUUGGCAAAACGAUUACCACAGCAGGGUUGACACUCUAUCCCCUCACAUCAUCCUUUUUAAAAAUUGUUGAGGAAAUAAGAUCUCAGAUCUACCCUCUUAGCUUUCACUGUAUUGUACAGUUUUGUUAUUUAUACUCGGCUAUACAUUGGAUCCACGCAACUUAUUCGUCUCAUACGUGGAAGUUUGUACCCUGUAUUCAACAUUUUGCGCAGGCCCUGGAAACCAGCAUUCUAAACACUUGGAAAUUUCUGUAAGAUUGACUUUUUUAGGUUCUGCAUAUAAGUGAGAACAUACAAUAUGUGUCUUUCUCUGUUUCACUGUCUUCACUUAGCAUAAAGCCUUUGAAGUCCAUUCGUGGUGUUGCAAAAGGCAGAAUUUUCUUCUUUGUGACUGAAUAAUGUUCCAUUGUAUAUAUCACAAUUUCUCUUUUCAAAUUAAUUUAUUUUAAUUGGAGGAUAAUUACUUUACAUUAUUGUGAUGUUUUUGUCAUACAUCAACAUGAAUUGGACAUAGGGAUUCACGCGUCCCCCCAUCCUGAACGCCCCUCCCACCUCCCUCCCCACUCUAUCCCUCUGGGUUUGCCCAGAGUACCAGCUUUGAGUACCCUGCUUCAUGCAUGGAGCUUAACACUGUCUCCUUUGCUGCCCUGCAUGUAGGGCCAUUGGUACCGUCUUUCUAAAUUCCAUAUAUAAGUGUUAAUAUACAGUAUUUCUCUUUCUCUUUCUGACUUACUUCACUCUGUGUCAUAGGCUCCGGGUUCAUCCACCUCAUUAGAACUGACUGAAGUGCAUUCCUUUUUAUAGUUGAGUAAUAUUCCAUUGUAUAUGUACCACAAUGUCCUUCUCCGUUCGUGUGCCAGUGGGCAUCUAGGUUGCGUGCAUCUCCUGGCUAUCGUAAACAGUGCUGCGGUGAACAUCGGGGUCCGUGUGUCUGUUUCACUUCUGGUUUCCUCAGGGUGUAUGCCCAGCAGUGGGAUUGCUGGGUCACAUGGCAGGUCUAUUCCCAGUUUUUAAAGGAAUCCCACACUGUUCUCCAUAGUGGAGAACCAGUUUGCAUUCCCACCCACUGUGUAAGAGGGUUGCCCUUCCUCCACACCCUUUCCAGCAUUUGUUGUUUGUAGACUUUUUGAUGGUGGCCAUUCUAAAUGGUGUCACCACGUUUUCUGUAUCCAUUCAUCCCUUCAUAGACACAUAGUUGCUUACAACUUUUGGUUGAAGCUGCAAAGUAAAUUUCAGGUUAGUGUUACUCUUCCAAUGUUGCUUUUCAGAAUCAUUUGGCUGUUCUAGUUCAUUUGCCUUACCACAGAAAUGUUAUCCUCAAUUAGUCUACAUGUACGAAAAAGUCCUGCUGGAAUUUCUGACUGGAAUUGUAUGAAAUUGAUGGAUGUGUAUGGGGGCUACUGACAUCCUAAUUAUUUUGAAUUUCUCAACCCAUGAACACACCAUGUGCCCCCAUUUUGUUAGGUCUUAUUUAAGGAACCACAUUGCAUUACCUUUUCUGCCAUUGUUUUAUAAAAUCUAUUUCUCAUAUAUCAAAUUCUGAAGAUCUGAAUCUGAUGACGAUAUGAAAAUAUUAGUAGUCAGAUGUUCAUCAGUAAUGCUUUAUUUCUUCUGUAGUUUUUACAUUGCCCGUUUAUUGUGUUUCUUAUUUUUUCUGCUAAUGUUCAUGAUUGUUUAAUCCAAGGGUGAUGGUAUGGGUAUUUUCUGGGAUAAAUCGUGAGGAGAUGUUCAGCUGUGUUUUGGGAUGGAGACUCUGAGGACAGGGACACAGGGGAGAGAGAGCAGAGUAGGGGUGGGGGAGGUGAACACGUCGGGCCAGGGACAGGGGGCUACUAGUACAAGUGGAAACAGAAGUGAAGAGACACAAGAAGAAGAGCUCCCCUUCUGCACCGUGCGUAGCUCUCCGUACAUACACGCAUAAUGAAGGCUUUGAGUACUCUUAGCAACACUCUGAGGUGAGCAUCUGUAAUGCUGUCAUCCCUUUUGUCAGCUGAGGAGCAGAGACCCGUAGAUGUUAGUGGGUGAAUGCAUCUGCACAAAGUCACCUAGCUGGCCAGAGAUAAGUCAGUUUAGUUCCCAGGCCAGAGAGAAACAGCCAGGUGUGGGAUCUGACCCCCAAUCUGGAAUACAGUGCAGUGUCUGGUGUACUCUGGAUCAAAAGGCAGAUCUACAUAUCCAUCCGCAUGAAACAUUACUAUGGAUCUGAGUAUGGAUUGAAGACAGUGUCUCCUAAGUGCGUGAAAGACCAUGCGGUGUCAUGUCAGCAUGCACAAAUCACAGAGAACAGUUCCUGGACCAUACGGAGGUAAGCAGUGUUUCCUCUGACCAACAUUAGUGGAGCACCCUCAUCAUUAUGGAAAGUAGCAUAACUAUAGUAUAAUGUAAUGAUACACAGACAGAGAACAGAUACAAUAUCAUGAAGACAUUACCUCCCCCAUCUGGUAAUUUUCUUAAAUGCAGAGAACAAAACCUGGAAGGCAAUAGACCACAUACUAAGUUUUUUUCUCUGAAGUGUGACAUUCUAGAUAAUUUUCAAGUAACAUUUUAUUAGUAUUGUAAUUUGUUGUAUCUUCAUUGUCACAUAGGCAGUUUUUCUAUUAUAGUUGAAAAAUGGACUUUCUGAAGACUCGUUCUCAGGUAUCUUGAGGUUUCAGCAUAAGAAAUUUGUGCUGGUAUCCCUGCCUGGUGAAAACCCAAUCGGCGCACUGAAGUCAGAGCACUAGGGUGUUUUCCAAUGAGUCAGCUAUUCUCAUCAGGUAGCCAAAGUAUUGCAGCUUCAGCAUCAGUCCUUCCAAGACUUCUCUUGUUGCGGAGCAUGGACUCUAGGCUCGAGGGCUUCAGUAGUCGAAGCAGGUGGGUUCAGUAGUUACCCACAGUCUUAGUUGCCCUGGGACAGGUGGAAUCUUCCUGAACUAGGGACCGAACGCCUGUCCCGUUGCAUUGGCAGACUAAUAGGCCAUAUGAGCGCAGGUUUAUUUCUGACAGAGCAUCCCCAACUGUACCCUGCGUAAAGGCUGGGGUGAAGUGAGAAGACCCGGUGACUUCAAUGUCCGUCCACUGCUGGUGGCACACCAAGUCUGGAUAAGAUUCAACAGAGGAAUCAAAAGACAAGCAAAGGCUCAGAGAAUUCAGCAGGACCACGCCAGCAUUACAACAAAGACUAAUGUAACAGCUCUAGGCAGAAACAAAAAGAAAGACCAAUGGAACACAUUAGGAAGCCCAGAGAUAGAUCCAUGCACCUAUCGGGCACCUCAUCUAUACCCAAGGAGGCCGUCGGUCGUGCCCGACUCGUUGUGACCCCAUGGACUGCAUGCAGCACGUCAGGAGGCUUCCCUGUCCUUCACCAUCUGCCGGAGCUUGCUCAAACUCAUGUCCAUUGAGUCAGUGAUGCCAUCCAACCAUCUUGUCCUCUGUCAUCCCCUUCUCCUCCUGCCGUCAAUCUUUCGCAGCAUUGCAGGCUGUUUUACCCUCAAUCCCAGUGAGCAUUUUAUUUCACUCUUCCACUGGGGAGGGGAAUGUAUCCUGCAAGCCAGUGUGCAAACUACAGUCUGACAGACUUGAGACCUGAACAUAGGGACACUCUCUGAGGAACCCUGAGAACCUGGAGAGCUGACUCUCUGUGUGCCACAGCUCCCAAAGGCAUACAAUGAGGGCAGUAAUGGCAUCUGCUUCUUGGGUGGUGUCCAGCAUCACUUACCCAGCAGGAUCUUAGGUUGGCACUUGUCCCUGUCAUGUUAUUAUUGUAGGUGGCUCAGAUGGUAAGGAGUCAGCCUGCAGUGCAGGAUAGCCAGGUUCAGUCGCUGGGUUGGGAAGAUCCUCUGCAGAAGGAAAUGGCAACCCACUCCAUUAUUCUUGCCUGGAGAAUCCCAUGGGCAGAGGAGCCUGGAAGGCUACAGUCCAAGGGGUCUUAAAGAAUCAGACACGUCUGAGCCACUUUCACUUCCACUUGACGGAAUGAUUUUCAAGUCAAAACUCACUGUCAUAAUAAAGUUCUCUUUAAACACACA